rnacentral:rRNA from 1 species
ACAGGCCGGAACUGGAAGGAUUGACAGAUUGAGAGCUCUUUCUCGAUUCGGUGGGUGGUGGUGCAUGGCCGUUCUUAGUUGGUGGAGUGAUUUGUCUGGUUAAUUCCGAUAACGAACGAGACUCUGGCCUGCUAAAUAGUCCACGGGUCUCUUUUUAACGCGGGGCAGUUCUUCUUAUACUGACUGGCGGCGUCUAGCCGCUUCAGAUUGAGCAAUGACUGGUCUGUGAUGCCCAUGUGAUGCCCA